AACGUCCCCAUAGACACUUUAGGGUACGAUUUUGAAUUGAUGCACUAUUUCUGAUAAAAGGCUACGCUUGUCAUAUGUUGUCUAAAACACAGAAUUAAAGACACAGCUUGCAAAUUACGCAAUUAUCCUUACAUUAUUUUGAAAACACGAAUUUGCCCUCCUCUAGGUUUCUUUCCUUACACCAUCUCCUACAUCUUCUCACUCUGAUUUCACGAGUCACGACGACGACCCUCAUCUUACGCCUUUUCUCUUCAAACAACAGAAAAAUCUGAAAUCAACAAUUUCAUCUACUUCGAUUGUGACUCACGUUGCUUAGUUUCACUGCUUAUAUAGUGAUUCACGAUCCACAAUUUCAUCUCGCUUCAACUCGUGAGUCAGAGUCACGAUCCACAAUGUCGUCUUCUUCGUGAGUCACGAUUCUCAGUUUCCCCUAAGAACAUGUUUCCUCCUCUUUCUGCAUGCUUCGAGUCUUUUAAUCGUCGAACCCUAAUCCCAAAUCUCGAAUCUGGCAUUAAACUUACAAUCGAAACAAAACGUGACCUAGAUGAACCCUAAUUUGGUUUUUCAGCUUCCAAUCGAAGCUAAUAGGAUAAAAAAAGUGUUACAAAAAGGAUGAAGAAUGUUGCAGCAAAAGGAAUUGCUUGAUUAAUGAAGCUGCAGAGAUUUAUAAAUUGAAGUAUAAAUUUAAGGAGGAGGCAAAGAAGAUUGAAUAUUGAAGCAGCAAUGAUAACCAAGACAAAUGAGGUUCCAGGGUGAAAAUGGUCUUCAGUGGCACAACCUGAAUCACCGUUGAGAUUGAGAGAGAGUUGCAUAAACUUUAGUAGAGCCAGAGGAAUAGCUAAGAGUUGCUUCACUAUAUGAUGAGGAGAGGGGUCAACAUAAACGUUGGUAGAACUGGAAGAAUAUACAAAAGCUGAUACUACUUAAUGAAAGAGGGAGGAUCAACCCCUUUGCGGCACUUUCAUUUUAGAAGAACUGCAGGUUUUGCAUUGGAGACAUACGAUGAAAAGGAAUUACGAUCAAAGAGAGGUUGGAAUUGAUAAUGAUCAUUUAAAGAAAGUAACAUAAGGCAUGUUGUAGGUGAUUCUUCAUAUGAUUAAGUAGCCAAGAUUGUGGGGGUAUUGAAAGGAAAUUUACUAUUUUACAGUUUGCUCAAUUUUAGUUGUAUUUAUAGUUUUGAGAAAAUAUUGUUUUAGUUUGUAUUAAAAAGUCAUGGGAGCAUUAACCAUGACUUUAGGUGUUUUAUAGUUUUUUAUUUGAAUAAGUCUUCAGGUGUUUUAUAGUAGCAGUACAUGUUUGCUACUUUUUAGUACUCAUACCAUAGAGUGGAGGUACUCCUUGCAUAUGUAAUAUACUAUACAAAUAUUUGAAUAAAGGAGUUCAUGUAUUUUUGCCUCA